rnacentral:tRNA from 1 species
AAUGAAUUGCCUGAAAAAGGAUUACCUUGAUAGGGUAAAUUAUAUAAAUUUUUUUAAUUUUAUAU